CCUGGGAGCGGCGUGGGGCUCGGACAGUUGUAAGAUGUGUUGUGUGGGCUGAAUUAGCUGUUGUACAAUUCCUGUCUAUCUCACUGAAUACAGCUUUCAGCGGCCCCUCGUGCCAAGUUUGAGUCCAAUUAAACUACAAUGAAAGCCCUGAAGAUGGCUGCCUGCAGGGAAGAAUCCUAACGCGACCCGAGAUAUCGGAAAGCGUUUCUGACCACACAAAUGGAAAAGGCUCAAGGAUAGCAAAACUGACUCUACAACAGAAAUAAGUCUUCUCCAUCCACUGAAUCUUUCAGCUGAGCCCGGAGUUAAGAUCUGAAAAGGGGAAGAGUUGUAAGUGGAAAUUUUGCAGUCUGGUUGGGUGAAGGUCAACAUUCACCCAGUACAUUGUGUGAUCAUCCCACCAUCACCAUCCUUAACUCUCAAGGCACAAGAAACGGUCACGUUAUCAAGCUGGAAGAGAAAUAAGGAACAAAAGAAAUUAUUCAUGGAGUUACAAUGCAAAGAAGUCUAUUUUAAAAAUAAACAGAACUGAGUUUUUGGAGCCUCUGAAUAAAAGAUAAGUUGACUGCACACAGAAUGUCAAAAUGGAGGGGAAGGAAGGUAUUUUUCCCCCCAACACUUUUUUUCUGUACUGAAGCACGACACAAAGGAAAAAAAAAAAACUAAUUAUAGUUUUAAAUGUCCAAAACGCCAUGUCCACCAAAAGCCCGAUGCUCAUUAGUACUAGUAAUUAACUUUACAACUGUCAACACAAACAGCACACAGGCUGACAGAUAGAGAGUAGCUCGGAGGGUGCUAAUAAAUCCGGAAAUAACAACUUGACAUACAGAUGCACAAAAGGAUGCAGGUGAUAAAGAAAUGUUGACAUCAAAUCUAAUUAUCUUCGAAACGGCCAAGUACAGCACGAGCCACAGUUAUUGCUGGUGAUGAGCCCCACCGGAACGGCGCUUAACCACUGCCUGCAACCCAGCUUUUACAGCCCUUGUCAGAGCUGGUGAGGACAAUAUCAAACAGGAAAUUAUGAGUGCCAUGACCCCUCCAAGUCAAAAAUCCAGUGAUGAAUAUGGGCUCAGCAAGGCAUAGCAGAUUACCCCCUCACGAGUUCUAAAGCUGGGAUGAUAUAUGACAUUUUUAUCAGGCACUUUCUCAGGAAUGUCACCAAGAGGGAAAAUAAAGGCCCAUGCGCAGAGACUAGGUGAAUUAUGCAACUGUAAUUGCCGAUCAUAACCUGAUAUGAGUUGAAAUUGCUCUGUUUUCAUAUUGAGAUAGCAUAAAAUUGUCGGGAAAUGCAAUGGCUCCUUAAUGUGGGCUAGAUGAGUCUAAUAUUCUGAUCAUUUUUCACUCGGCUUGCAAGGUAAAUCGAGCUUCCUUCGCACAGCCACUGUGGCCCAGGGCAAUCGAGGGGCCCAAUUUUACACUUGAAUUGAGCAAAUAUGUGUAAACCACGAUUUUUCAUAUUUUCUGCAUGCAUAAGAAGAUGAAACAUCUUUAUCAUCGGUAUUGUCUGGCUGAGCUUAUACAAAAUAUUAGUUUAUCUGUCCUACUUUGGUUCAUUCCAUAAGCGAGACACAUAGAUCUGAAGGAAGGCAAUAUCCCCCCCCCCCCCCCCAUAUAUAAAACAAGUCCAUCUUUUAUCCAGUGUCACCGCACAAGUUUUCCUAUUUGGAACCAACGCCACCACCACAAAAGUCGACACAGUGGCAGCGCCACAAAGGAAGACAUUUAUUCGAGGGGAGGAGAGGAGGCCAAUCCAGGCGCUAAACGCAGCCAACUGUUCCGUCAUUCUCCUGUUUGCGCACGGGAGCUGGGGGAAAGCCAAAUAAUCCCUGAUGUCUCUGCUAGACUGUCUCCCUUUUCCCACUUAAAUCAGUUACACCGGCAAGAGGCUGGUAUCAGCAUUUUAUUGCUUUCCCGCUGCGGCCUGCGGCAAACGGAAAAACAACGUGUUGGCUUUCUUCCUCCUUGGAGUCAGCUCUAAACCUGGGAGCAUCGUGACAGUGUUAUUGGGGCUCUUGGGUGCCUGGUCCCGUUCCUUCUUGUUCCUGAGCCCCGUCCCCUAAAGGGUGGAGGACCCAGGCCCAAGCAGAGAUGCUUCUUUGUUACAAAGUGGAUUUUUCCCUCCAUAACUUCUGCUUCUCAUCCCCAGGGCCUAGGCAGCCACCCAAGGCCACCUGUGUCCGGGGCAAGCUCUAGUUCAGCCUGGAGUCUAGCCUAGAGGAUGAGGUCCUGGAAAUAGGUCUGUUAAUGAAUCAGUCUCUGCACACGCCAUGAUAGCAGGGUCCCUCUGAAGAUGGGUUCCUUCCACUGUGAUUCGCGACUGACCGUCAAUAUGUAUUAGCGCUUUACUGGCUGGCGUCUUUAUCUUCUCGACAUUCCUAGAAGCAUUCCAACGCUAGGCCUAAGACAUGACUCAUCCCCCGGCCAUGUUCAGCCUCAAGCCAGAGUGAAACCUGCAUUUAUGCAGCCAGCAGGUAUACACAGCAUUAAAAUAAUCUCGUGAGUUUUUUUGUUCUUUUGGAGACAAUCAAUCAGUUGGCUUUUAAUCAAAGGACCCCUCGAUAAUAGGGUUGCUGCUAACAGAGAGAGGCUGCAGAGAAAUAAAGAAAAGCACCACACUAAAAAGAGCCACUCAAAUGGGAGUCAGAUUCAGCAAUGGGAUGCUCAUAGCCCAGGGCCAAGAACUUGAGAUCACCUUCCCUCUUCUCUAAUGGCCAACCAGUUCCAUAAUGAGUCAAUGUGAUAUGGGGCAGUGCCGAAUAAAGUGUGCUAGAACUGUCUGAAACUAAACGAAGCUAAGGUACAGUUAGAGAAAAAAGUGUUUUCUGUGACAUACAUAUAUAUACUGGGAUGCCAGGAGGCUGUGUAAAAGACUACUUUCUCAGUUUUAGGGCCCCCUCCCCACAUUCUGGCUCCCUCCUUUGCACGCCCACUGCACUUCCGUGAAUGGCCCUUGAGCACUCUAAGUUCCUCAGAGGCAGGGACCUUUCCUUAUUUGUCCUGGUAUCCCCAGCAUCUAGCAUAAUCCUUGGCAGAGCUGACAUUCAACAAAUACCUACUGAAUAAAGUGAUGCUUAUGGUAAUCAGCCAUUACACUCGUCAUUUAUCGCUGUGCCAUGAGUUACCCUCCAAAUUAAGGACUUAAAACCAUGAGGGUUAUUAUCUAGCAGUUUCUGGGGCUCAGGAAUUUGGGGGUUGGGUGGCUCUUGGAAGGACACGAGUAACCUAUCAGUUGGUGCUGCAGUCAUCUGAGGCUGGAAGAUAUACUUCUAAGGUCACUGGUGUGGCCGUUGGCUGAAGGCCUCAGCGGCUUACCAUGAGGCUUUUGGCACAGAACUGCUCACAACAUGGCAACUGGCUUCCCUCAGAGUAAGUGGUCCAGAAAGAAAGAGAUUGCAAGUAGCCACACUGCCUUUCACGAACUA